AGAGUUUGAUCCUGGCUCAGGAUGAACGCUAGCGGCAGGCUUAACACAUGCAAGUCGAGGGGUAACAGAUCUAGCAAUAGAUGCUGACGACCGGCGCACGGGUGAGUAUCGCGUUUGCAAUCUACCUCUAACUGGGGGAUAGCCCGGAGAAAUUCGGAUUAAUACCUCAUAUUAUCAUAAGAAGGCAUCUUUUUAUGAUUAAAGCUCAGGCGGUUAGAGAUGAGCAUGCGUACCAUUAGCUAGUUGGUGAGGUAAUGGCUCACCAAGGCUACGAUGGUUAGGGGGUCUGAGAGGAUGAUCCCCCACACUGGUACUGAGACACGGACCAGACUCCUACGGGAGGCAGCAGUGAGGAAUAUUGGGCAAUGGGCGCAAGCCUGACCCAGCCAUGCCGCGUGCAGGAUGACGGCGCUAUGCGUUGUAAACUGCUUUUGUUUAGGAAGAAAUCCAUCUACGUGUAGGUGGUUGACGGUACUGAAUGAAUAAGCAUCGGCUAACUCCGUGCCAGCAGCCGCGGUAAUACGGAGGAUGCAAGCGUUAUCCGGAUUCAUUGGGUUUAAAGGGUGCGUAGGCGGAGUACUAAGUCCGCGAUGAAAUCCUGCAGCUUAACUGUAGAACUGUCAUUGAUACUGGUAUUCUUGAAUGCAGUUGAGGUAGGUGGAAUGUGUAAUGUAGCGGUGAAAUGCUUAGAUAUUACACAGAACACCGAUUGCGAAGGCAGCUUACUAAACUGUGAUUGACGCUGAGGCACGAAAGCGUGGGGAGUAAACAGGAUUAGAUACCCUGGUAGUCC
rnacentral:rRNA from 1 species